CCGCCUCCUGGCCCUGGGCCAGCCGCCAUCUUGCAACGGCCCUUGCCAAUCCCAGGGGCAGCUUUAGCACACCCCUCCCCACACAGGUCCGUGCAGGAGAGCUGAGGGCAACUGCCUCUCCCAGCUGGGUGUCUACCACCCCUCGCCAGUCAUGUGCAUGUCCACUCAGCUGGAGCUACUUGUGACUUCAGACUGGGCAGUAGUGACAGAGCAUUUCAGUUCUCGUUCUUGUCUCCCUGACCGCUGUCAUGAGUCUGAAGAAUUUAUCAUCUCUCCAAGCUUUCUACUAUGGACGGUUUCUACUGAUUGGCUAUUGAGAAUCUAAGACAAUGUCAGGUUGGGCUCCAUUCUCACAUAGUCUGUCGGCCCCUGCUCACGUUGACUGUCUCUCUUGGGAGAAUGUGUAACUCCAAGCAAAUGAUGAUGGAUUAUUGACACAUCUGGAUGUUUGGCCUAAAGAAUCGUAAGCUGCUGCAGUGGCAUUUAUUUUUUUGAAUCAGCUCUUCAGACCACCCUGGAACUCAUGCAACUCGUUUGGAAAGAAGUUUGUGAUAUCUCAAAGUUGCCUUCUGCCAUUUCAAAAUGAGUGCAAAUGGGAUUCUGUCACCCGUGUUUUAUACAUUGUGGCUUUGCAUUUUUGACACCUACAGGAACAAUAAGACCAAAGCCAGAUGCCCA